GGGAAACGGGAAGAGGGGCCAGCCCCAGGCCCCACAACAAAGUGGGGCA
rfam:Homo sapiens chromosome 3, GRCh38 reference primary assembly.